rnacentral:rRNA from 1 species
UACGAAGGGGGCUAGCGUUGCUCGGAAUCACUGGGCGUAAAGCGCACGUAGGUGGAUCGCUAAGUCAGGGGUGAAAUCCUGGAGCUCAACUCCAGAACUGCCUUUGAUACUGGCAAUCUCGAGUCCGGGAGAAGUGAGUGGAACUGCGAGUGUAGAGGUGAAAUUCGUAGAUAUUCGCAAGAACACCAGUGGCGAAGGCGGCUCACUGGCCCGGUACUGACGCUGAGGUGCGAAAGCGUGGGGAGCAAACAGG